rnacentral:rRNA from 1 species
AUUGAACGCUGGCGGCAUGCCUUACACAUGCAAGUCGAACGGCAGCACGGGAGCAAUCCUGGUGGCGAGUGGCGAACGGGUGAGUAAUAUAUCGGAACGUGCCCAGUCGUGGGGGAUAACGCAGCGAAAGCUGUGCUAAUACCGCAUACGAUCUAAGGAUGAAAGCGGGGGAUCGCAAGACCUCGCGCGAUUGGAGCGGCGGAUAUCAGAUUAGCUAGUUGGUGGGGUAAAGGCCCACCAAGGCGACGAUCGGUAGCUGGUCUGAGAGGACGAACAGCCAGCCGGGAACUGCGACAAGGUCCAGACUCCGACGGGAGGCAGCAGUGGGGAAUGUGGGACAAUGGGCGCAAGCCUGAUCCAGCAAUGCCGCGUGCAGGAUGAAGGCCUUCGGGUUGUAAUCUGCUUUUGUACGGAACGAAACGGCCCUUUCUAAUACAGGGGGCUAAUGACGGUACCGUAAGAAUAAGCACCGGCUAACUACGUGCCAGCAGCCGCCGUAACAC